AUGAACUGGCUCUCUCUCGCUGAAUGGUGGUAUAACACUAGUUACCAUACAACUCUGCAAAUUACUCCCUUCCAAGCACUGUAUAGUAGACCUCCAAACAUUAUCUCUGAAGCAGCCCUUUACCCUACUGAACAAGUACAGGAAUUUUCUUCAGUACUCACUGCAGAACAAACAGCAGCCCAGAUCAAGGCAAAUCUGUUGAAGGCUCAAACUCGAAUGAAACACUAUGCAGAUAAAAAGAGAUCUGAAAGAACUCUAGAAGUGGGUGACAUGGUGUAUCUCAAGCUCCAGCCUUACAGACACACUACCUUGAGCGUCCAUCGAUGUCUCAAACUCUACUCCAAGUAUUAUGGCCCCUUCCGAAUACAAGAGAAAAUUGGCCCAGUGGCUUACAAACUGCUGUUACCGGAGGACUACAAAUUGCAUCCCACAUUCCAUGUCAGCCAA
rnacentral:rRNA from 1 species